rnacentral:rRNA from 1 species
GAUGAACGCUAGCGGCAGGCCUAAUACAUGCAAGUCGGACGGGAUCCAUCGGAGAGCUUGCUCGAAGAUGGUGAGAGUGGCGCACGGGUGCGUAACGCGUGAGCAACCUACCUCUAUCAGGGGGAUAGCCUCUCGAAAGAGAGAUUAACACCGCAUAAUAUAAUCUUCCGGCAUCGUUAGAUUAUUAAAUAUUUAUAGGAUAGAGAUGGGCUCGCGUGACAUUAGCUAGUUGGUAAGGUAACGGCUUACCAAGGCGACGAUGUCUAGGGGCUCUGGGAGGAGAAUCCCCCGCACUGGUACGGGGACACGGACCAGACUCCUACGGGAGGCAGCAGUAAGGAAUAUUGGUCAAUGGGCGGAAGCCUGAACCAGCCAUGCCGCGUGCAGGACGACUGCCCUAUGGGUUGUAAACUGCUUUUGUCCAGGAAUAAACCUAAAUACGUGUAUUUAGCUGAAUGUACUGGAAGAAUAAGGAUCGGCUAACUCCGUGCCAGCCGCCGCCGUAACAC